rnacentral:rRNA from 1 species
UACAGAGGGUGCUAGCGUUGAUUCGGAAUCAUUGGGCGUAAAGGGCGUGUAGGCGGUUUUGUUAAGUCAUGUGUGAAAAUCCCCGUCGGCUACAACCGGGGGAACGACGCAUGAAACUGGCAAGCUAGAGUACCAAAGGAGGGGGUGGAAGUUCCCGGUGUAGCGGUGAAAUGCGCAGAUAUCGAGGAAGAACACCUAUGGCGAAGGCAGCGAUCUCUGGGACGGUACUCGACGGCUGAGCACGCGAAAGCGUGGGGAGCGAACAGG